CGAAUUGCGAUGAUUGGACUUUAUUUGCGCAGUAUAGGUGGGAGACGUUGAUAAUAUUCUUGCGGGAAUAUUGGAGUCAUCAGUGAGAUACCACUCUUGUAAUGUUAGAUUUCUAACUUUGUAUCAUUAUCUGGUCAAAGAACAGUUUCAGGCGGGCAGUUUGACUGGGGCGGUCGCCUCCCAAACGGUAACGGAGGCGCACAAAGGUUUCCUCUGAACGUGUAGAAAUCGUAUCUAGAGUGUAAAGGCAUAAGGAAGCUUGACUGUGAGACCUACAAGUCGAGCAGGGACGAAAGUCGGUCUUAGUGAUCUGACGGUGCUGAGUGGAAAGGCCGUCACUCAACGGAUAAAAGUUACUCUAGGGAAACCAGGCUGAA
rnacentral:rRNA from 1 species